rnacentral:rRNA from 1 species
AUUGAACGCUGGCGGCAGGCCUAACACAUGCAAGUCGAACGAGUCGCGCACGGGUGUGUAAUGUCUGGGAAACGGCCUGAUGGAGGGGGAUAACUACUGGAAACGGUAGCUAAUACCGUAUACCAUCAGUAGUGCCCAGAUGGGAUUGGCUUGUUGGUGGGGUAACGGCUCACCAAGGCGACGCUCCCUAGCUGGUCUGAGAGGAUGACCAGCCAAACUGGGACUGAGACACGGACCAGACUCCUACGGGAGGCAGCAGUGGGGAAUAUUGCACAAUGGGCGCAAGCCUGAUGCAGCCAUGCCGCGUGUAUGAAGAAGGCCUUCGGGUUGUAAAGUACUUUCAGUGGGGAGGCGUUACCCGCAGAAGAAGCACCGGCUAACUCCGUGCCAGCAGCCGCGGUAAUAC